AUACGGAGGGUGCAAGCGUUACUCGGAAUCACUGGGCGUAAAGCGCGCGCAGGCGGCUUGAUAAGUUGGAUGUGAAAGCCAACGGCUCAACCGUAGAACUGCAUCCAAAACUGUCAAGCUAGAGUCUGGGAGGGGAAGAUGGAAUUAGUUGUGUAGGGGUAAAAUCCGUAGAGAUAACUAGGAAUACCAAAAGCGAAGGCGAUCUUCUGGAACAGUACUGACGCUGAGGCGCGAAAGCGUGGGGAGCGAACAGGAUUAGAUACCCCAGUAGUCC
rnacentral:rRNA from 1 species